AGAAUCUCUCUGUCCAGAGGCAAGGACAGAGACCAAAUACAUGUGUUUCUUCUUCUUUGUUUUCCAGAGAGGGCUUCUCUGUGUAACAAUCUCGGCUGUCUGGGGAACCACUUUGUGAAACAAGCUGACCUCAAACUCAUGGAAAUCUACCUGCCUCUGCCUCUCAAGGACUGAGAUUGAAGGCAUGCACCACCUAGGCCUGGCUAUGUGUUUCUUCUUACAUCUCAAGAUCUUGUUCCAGGCCUUGUAUACUGUUUUCAGGUCUGAGGCUUUGUUGUGCAUCUUGUGGAGUAAUGUCAGUUUCUACUGUUCAGCUUGGAGACUGGCUCAGUAUAAAGAAGACCUCUGCACUGGCUUCAUUGGUUCAGCAGAGAUAGCCUUCAUUUCAUGUCAGUGUGAAAAUCUCUCUCUUUCUCUUCUGCUCAGCUUUGCUUAUCUUCAGAGAAUUUCAUCUUAGAGGUUUAGAAGACUUUUCCUGA
rnacentral:lncRNA from 1 species